rnacentral:ncRNA from 1 species
GAAAAGUUUGAUUCUGACUUAGUCAUUUAUUUUAUUUAUUUUGUACAUGUAAUUUGGCAGUAUUUUAUAUUAUACAAUAAUUUUGAUAUAAAAAUUUAUUAUUUAGUGGUCUACAUUGUGCCAGCAUCCGCGGUUAUACAUAGAUUAGAAAUAAAUUUUAUUGGUUUAAAUUAGUAAUAAGUUUAAAAAUUAGAUUUUAUUAGGUGAAAUUAAUUAAUUUAUUUGUUUAUUAUUAUGUUAUACUAAAUUAAAUUCAUUUAAGACCUGGAUUAGAUACCCAGUUAUAGAUUUGUUUUAUUCCUGAGUAUUAAAUAAAUUGAAACUUAAAGAAUUUGGCGGUAGUUUAUUCUUUUUAGAGGAACCUGUUAUUUAAAAGAUACUACACUAUUAAAAUCUUUUAUUUUUCUUAUAUAUCGUUGUCUAAAGAAUUAAUUAAAACUAAUUUUUUCUCCAAAUUUAAUUGUUUAAAAGUCAAAUCAAUGUGUAGAUUAUAAAAGAGUCUAAUGGGUUACCGUAAUUUAAGUUGUGGAUUUUUUUAUUGGGUAAAGUUGAAAUUGGAUUUAAAAUUAAAUUUUUAAUACGAUUUUUGAAUCAAGUUCUAAACUAUGUACAUAUCGCCCGUCGCUCUAAUUUUAAAAUUAGAUAAGUCGUAACAAAGUAGUUUUUCCGGAAGGAGAAACUUGUU